rnacentral:rRNA from 1 species
UACAGAGGUCCCAAGCGUUGUUCGGAUUCACUGGGCGUAAAGGGUGCGUAGGUGGCCGGUGGAGUCUGACGUGAAAUCUCCGAGCCUAACUCGGAAACUGCAUCGGAAACUAUCCGGCUCGAGGGUUGGAGGGGGGACUGGAAUACUUGGUGUAGCAGUGAAAUGCGUAGAUAUCGAGAGGAACACCAGUGGCGAAGGCGAGUCUCUGGACAUUUCCUGACGCUGAGGCACGAAAGCCAGGGGAGCAAACGGG